AUACGUAGGGGGCGAGCGUUGUCCGGAAUGAUUGGGCGCAAAGGGCGCGUAGGCGGCGCGGUAAGUCUGGAGUGAAAGUCCUGCUUUCAAGGUGGGAAUUGCUUUGGAUACUGCCGCGCUUGAGUGCAGGAGAGGUUAUCGGAAUUCCCGGUGUAGCGGUGAAAUGCGUAGAGAUCGGGAGGAACACCAGUGGCGAAGGCGGGUAACUGGACUGCAACUGACGCUGAGGCGCGAAAGUGUGGGGAGCAAACAGGAUUAGAUACCCUGGUAGUCCACACUGUAAACGAUGAAUGCUAGGUGUAAGAGGUAUCGACCCCUUUUGUGCCGGAGUCAACACAAUAAGCAUUCCGCCUGGGGAGUACGGCCGCAAGGUUGAAACUUAAAGGAAUUGACGGGG
rnacentral:rRNA from 1 species